rnacentral:rRNA from 1 species
GACGAACGCUGGCGGCGUGCUUAACACAUGCAAGUCGAACGGAAAGGCCCUGCUUUUGUGGGGUGCUCGAGUGGCGAACGGGUGAGUAACACGUGAGUAACCUGCCCUUGACUUUGGGAUAACUUCAGGAAACUGGGGCUAAUACCGGAUAGGAGCUCCUGCUGCAUGGUGGGGGUUGGAAAGUUUCGGCGGUUGGGAAUGGACUCGCGGCUUAUCAGCUUGUUGGUGGGGUAGUGGCUUACCAAGGCUUUGACGGGUAGCCGGCCUGAGAGGGUGACCGGCCACAUUGGGACUGAGAUACGGCCCAGACUCCUACGGGAGGCAGCAGUGGGGAAUAUUGCACAAUGGGCGGAAGCCUGAUGCAGCAACGCCGCGUGCGGGAUGACGGCCUUCGGGUUGUAAACCACUUUCGCCUGUGACGAAGCGUGAGUGACGGUAAUGGGUAAAGAAGCACCGGCUAACUACGUG